CUUGACUAUCCAUUGGCCCACGUGGGUAUCUACAGUAGAUUGAUAGCUCUGAGAGUUCUCAUUUGACCUUGUCACUUGGUUCGGUGAUAUUACAAUAGAAGUAGAAACUUUCAGCAGCCUGUAAGUGAGAACGUUUCAGUGGGUGGUUGUUUCCUGAUGCUGUCUCCAAGUUCGGAGGGUGUGGACAUUUGAGUACAGCCCCCCAAGAAAUUAUAUUGAGAAAUCCAGAUGUGCAGUUGUGCAAGAGCAAGCUGGUGUGGAUUUUUGAAUGGAUAUUCUGAAGACAACUAGGUGCAUGUCCCAGCAAAGCUUCGCAAAGAUGUCAGUAUUAAUUGUCACCAUCCUCCAGGGAGAAAGCAACAGCCCACAAUUGCCUGCAUUUUCUUUCCUCUUCAAAACCACUUCUGCUCCAAAGACCAUGAACCUGAACUGAAGAAACGACUCCUUCCUGCUGGUGUGAGAUAAUUCAGUCUCCAUGAUGUCUUAAUCCUGGGCCUCCCUUAAUUGACUUCUAACUGUGCUGAACUGUGGCUGCUAGGAGUUGCAAUGUGGAUCGCAAUUUACAAGGCACUGGAAUCGUUUCUUGUCUUCAAAUUAGUCCUGAGCUGUACUGGAGAAAGAAAAAAAAGGGGCCUUUACCCUUCUUGCUGUCUUGUCACCACAAGUGAGACUUUCUUACAGUCUCAGAAUGGAUGGUUGCCUUUUAACAAUUUAGUUAGGGACAGAAAGGAAAAAGAGUUAGGGUUGCCAAUACUUCGUCAAUUUUGUCUUAAUAAAGUUGCCUCACAUGGC
rnacentral:lncRNA from 10 species